rnacentral:piRNA from 1 species
UUACACAAAUGUAUUAGAUUGAGUUGG